rnacentral:rRNA from 1 species
GACGUAGGGGGCCAGCGUUGCUCGGAAUUACUGGGCGUAAAGGGUUCGUAGGCGGUGUGGCAAGUCGGUAGUGAAAUCUCCAGGCUUAACUUGGAGGCUGCUGCCGAAACUGCCGUGCUAGAGUGCAGGAGAGGCGAGUGGAAUUACAGGUGUAGCGGUGAAAUGCGUAGGAAUCUGUAGGAACACCCGUGGCGAAGGCGGCUCGCUGGACCAUAACUGACGCUGAGGCGCGAAAGCUAGGGGAGCAAACAGG